rnacentral:rRNA from 1 species
GAUGAACGCUGGCGGCGUGCUUAACACAUGCAAGUCGAACGGUGAAGGCGGAGCUUGCUCUGCUGGCUCAGUGGCGAACGGGUGAGUAACACGUGAGCAAUCUGCCCCUGACUCUGGGAUAAGCGCUGGAAACGGCGUCUAAUACUGGAUACGAGCUGCGAAGGCAUCUUCAGCAGCUGGAAAGAACUUCGGUCAGGGAUGAGCUCGCGGCCUAUCAGCUUGUUGGUGAGGUAACGGCUCACCAAGGCGUCGACGGGUAGCCGGCCUGAGAGGGUGACCGGCCACACUGGGACUGAGACACGGCCCAGACUCCUACGGGAGGCAGCAGUGGGGAAUAUUGCACAAUGGGCGAAAGCCUGAUGCAGCAACGCCGCGUGAGGGACGACGGCCUUCGGGUUGUAAACCUCUUUUAGCAGGGAAGAAGCGAAAGUGACGGUACCUGCAGAAAAAGCGCCGGCUAACUACGUG